CUCUGCACACAGACAUGCAGGCUGUUCUUCUGCUCUUACUGCUGGCUGGAGCCUCCAAAGGUCUGGACUCCACCUGCAAUGCUACUCAGGAUGCUACAUGUUAUGGGGCUCUGGGAGGACCUGUGUAUCUGCAGCUGACGAGGGACACCACAGGAUAUGAACUGAAGUUGUUCAGUGGAGACAAGAAUAUUUUUACAUCCAAAAGCUCCAAGACAGUGUUCUAUAACGAGUUCAACACCCCAUCAUUCCGUCAGAGGUGGCAGUUUGUUCCUGAUAACGGGACCCUGAUCAUAAACCCUAGAGAAAGGAGAGACUCAGCAACAUACAGAGUGGAGAUCUAUGAGGAGUCAACAGGGAAGAGAGUGGGAGAGCACACCGUACAGCUGAUCAUCGAAGCCCCUGUGUCUGAUGUGGACCUGUCAAUCAGCAGCUUAGCCAAUGGGGAGAAGAGGGUGAGGUGCUCCUCCAAUGGGGACAGUCCUCAGUACAGCUGGUCUCUGGAUGGGAGGCCUCUGAGUGAAGCUGAUGCUGAUCUCAGUCCAGAUAACCAGACUCUCCUGUUCAGUGAGGAUGUGACUGGAGAACUCACUUGCAGUGUCUCAAACCACGUCAGCAGCACAAACACCUCAGUUCUGCUGCUGGAGGUUUGCUCUGGUCAGUUAGUAGGACAUUACUUUACAUCUGAGUGAUUUAGUGGUCAUGACAACAUCAGUAAUACAGACAUCAGGCAUGCAGUCAUAACAGUUAUGAAGAUGCUAGCAUGGCACUGGAUUAUAUACUAAUAAACUGUU
ensembl:lncRNA